ACGGCCAGAGAUGGUCGCCCCCUUGUGGUCGGUGUACAGGUGGUGCAUGGUUGUCAUCAGCUCGUGUCAUGAGAUGUUGGGUUAAAUCCCGCAACGAGCGCUACCCUCGUUCUAUGUUGCCAGCGCUUUAUGGCGGGGACUCAAAGGAGACUUGCCGGGUUCAACUAAGUAGGAAAGUGGGGAUAACCUCAAUUCUUAUUGCCCCUUAUGAUUAAGUAUUUUCCGCUAUCAAUAAAGGUAGGUAUAAUUGGCAGCGAUAACAAUUAUGUGGAACUAAUACCAAAAGCUUGUUCAUAUUUUCACUAACACCGUAUGCUACUAAUACUUAUUAAUUUCUAUAUAGGCAUAUAUCACUCUACUUUAGCAUCUUAUUUAACUCUAUACAUUUCACAUCUUG
rnacentral:rRNA from 1 species